rnacentral:rRNA from 1 species
GUGGGGAAUUUUGGACAAUGGGCGCAAGCCUGAUCCAGCAAUGCCGCGUGCAGGAAGAAGGCCUUCGGGUUGUAAACUGCUUUUGUACGGAACGAAACGGUCCGGGUUAAUACCCUGGGCUAAUGACGGUACCGUAAGAAUAAGCACCGGCUAACUACGUGCCAGCAGCCGCGGUAAUACGUAGGGUGCAAGCGUUAAUCGGAAUUACUGGGCGUAAGGCGUGCGCAGGCGGUUUUGUAAGACAGGCGUGAAAUCCCCGGGCGCAACCUGGGAAUUGCGCUUGUGACUGCAAGGCUGGAGUGCGGCAGAGGGGGAUGGAAUUCCGCGUGUAGCAGUGAAAUGCGUAGAUAUGCGGAGGAACACCGAUGGCGAAGGCAAUCCCCUGGGCCUGCACUGACGCUCAUGCACGAAAGCGUGGGGAGCAAACAGGAUUAGAAACCCGUGUAGUCC